CCUGGUUGAUUCUGCCAGUAGUCAUAUGCUUGUCUCAAAGAUUAAGCCAUGCAAGUCUAAGUUUAAGCACAUAAACGGCGAAACUGCGAAUGGCUCAUUAAAUCAGUUAUCGUAUAUUUGAUAGUACCUACUACAUGGAUAACCGUGGUAAUUCUAGAGCUAAUACAUGCUUAAAAUCCCGACUUCGGAAGGGAUGUAUUUAUUAGAUUAAAAACCAAUGCCCUUCGGGGCUCACUGGUGAUUCAUAAUAACUUCUCGAAUCGCAUGGCCUUGUGCCGGCGAUGGUUCAUUCAAAUUUCUGCCCUAUCAACUUUCGACGGCUGGGUAUUGGCCAGCCGUGGUUACAACGGGUAACGGAGGGUUAGGGCUUGACCCCGGAGAAGGAGCCUGAGAAACGGCUACUACAUCCAAGGAAGGCAGCAGGCGCGCAAAUUACCCAAUCCCGAUACGGGGAGGUAGUGACAAUAAAUACUGAUACAGGGCUCUUUUGGGUCUUGUAAUUGGAAUGAGUACAAUUUAAAUCCCUUAACGAGGAACAAUUGGAGGGCAAGUCUGGUGCCAGCAGCCGCGGUAAUUCCAGCUCCAAUAGCGUAUAUUAAAGUUGUUGCAGUUAAAAAGCUCGUAGUUGAACCUUGGGCCUGGCUGGCCGGUCUGCCUCACCGCAUGCACUGGUCCGGCCGGGCCUUUCCCUCUGGGGAGCCGCAUGCCCUUCACUGGGUGUGUCGGGGAACCAGGACUUUUACUGUGAAAAAAUUAGAGUGUUCAAAGCAGGCCUAUGCUCGAAUACAUUAGCAUGGAAUAAUAGAAUAGGACGUUGCGGUUCUAUUUUGUUGGUUUCUAGGACCGCCGUAAUGAUUAAUAGGGACAGUCGGGGGCAUCAGUAUUCAAUCGUCAGAGGUGAAAUUCUUGGAUCGAUUGAAGACUAACUACUGCGAAAGCAUUUGCCAAGGAUGUUUUCAUUAAUCAGGAACGAAAGUUAGGGGAUCGAAAACGAUCAGAUACCGUUGUAGUCUUAACCAUAAACUAUGCCGACUAGGGAUCGGGCGAUGU
rnacentral:rRNA from 1 species